rnacentral:rRNA from 1 species
AGUGAACGCUGGCGGCAGGCCUAACACAUGCAAGUCGAGCGGCAGCGGGACCUUCGGGUUGCCGGCGAGCGGCGGACGGGUGAGUAAUGCCUAGGAAUCUGCCUGUUAGUGGGGGAUGACGCGGGGAAACUCGCGCUAAUACCGCAUACGUCCUACGGGAGAAAGCGGGGGCUCUUCGGACCUCGCGCUAACAGAUGAGCCUAGGUCGGAUCAGCUAGUUGGUGGGGUAAUGGCUCACCAAGGCGACGAUCCGUAACUGGUCUGAGAGGAUGAUCAGUCACACUGGAACUGAGACACGGUCCAGACUCCUACGGGAGGCAGCAGUGGGGAAUAUUGGACAAUGGGCGAAAGCCUGAUCCAGCCAUGCCGCGUGUGUGAAGAAGGUCUUCGGAUUGUAAAGCACUUUAAGUCGGGAGGAAGGGCUGUAGGUUAAUACCCUGCGGUUUUGACGUUACCGACAGAAUAAGCACCGGCUAACUUCGUGCCAGCAGCCGCAGUAAAAC